UUUCCGUAGGUGAACCUGCGGAAGGAUCAUUAACGAGUUAGGGUCUCUCUGGCCCGACCUCCCAACCCUUUGUCUACUUGACCAUCGUUGCUUCGGCGAGCCCGUCCUCACGGACCGCCGGAGCGACCUUUACUGGCCCUCUGGUCCGCGCUCGUCGGUAGCCCAACCUUUAAAAUCUUUAACUAAACGUGCCUUAAUCUAAGUACAAUUAUUAAAUAGAAGCAAAACUUUCAACAACGGAUCUCUUGGUUCUG
rnacentral:misc_RNA from 1 species